GUUUAUGAUGAGAAAAUGUCCUUGUGACAAUGCUAUAAACCCAGCUCUUCGAUCUUAAGUAAAAUUUUUUAUUUUUGAAAGGAGAAGAGAUUUUAUCUCUGAUA
rnacentral:snoRNA from 1 species